CCUCUCAUGGCGUAGUGGUACCGCGCCCCAACUAGAGAUCGGGGAGUCGUGAGUUCGAUUCUCACUGAGAAGA
rnacentral:tRNA from 1 species